GUUGAGGUCCAUCCAGAUUGGUCUUUUUCUGUAGACCUACAUCAUUGGAAAUGCCUGCUGGAGUAUAUAUGUGGUUUCCUUUACUCACAGAACUGUGUGUUAGAUCUGGGGGAAGGAGCUAUAAGACAGGU